UCAGCAUGCGUGUUUGUUGUUGUUUUUUUCGAUUUAGUCGUUGGUGCGCAGUUGUGCGAUGUGCGCGUGUCCACUUGUUUUAGUUCUAGGGUUAGGACUAGUUUUGCAAUUGAGCCCGACGUCGUAGGAGAACCAUUCUUGCAUCAGAUUGGAUUUUGCACUUGAGCCCAACAUCAUAGAAGAGCCAUUCUUGCAUACGAUUGCUGGGAUUUUGCACCUGAGUCUGACAUCGUAGAAGGACCAUUCUUGCAUCAGAAUGGAUUUUGCACCUUAGUCAAACAUCGUAGAAGGACCACUCUUGCAUCAGAUUGGAUUUUGUGCCUGAGCCUGACAUCGUUGAAGGACCAUUUUGGCAUCAAAGUGGAUUUUGCACCUGAGUCUGACAUCGUAGAAGGACCAUUCUAGUAUCAGAUUGGAUUUUGCACCUGAGUCUGACAUCGUAGAAGGACCAUUCUAGUAACAGAUUGGAUUUUGCACCUGAGUCUGACAUCGUAGAAGGACCAUUCUAGUAACAGAUUGGAUUUUGCACCUGAGUCUGACAUCGUAGAAGGACCAUUGUUACAUCAGAAUGGAUUUUGCACCUGAGUCUGACAUCGUAGAAGGACCAUUCUAGUAACAGAUUGGAUUUGGCACCUGAGUCUGACAUUGCAGAACGAUCAUUAUUGCAUCAGAAUGGAUUUUGCACCUGAGUCUGACAUCGUAGAUGGACCAUUCUUGCAUCAUAUUGUUAAUAUUUAAUUUCUUUAUUAUUAUCUUAAUUAACUUUUGUGAUUAUUACACAAAUGUAUUCCAAAAUUAAUACUCGUGUGUUUUCUUUAAUAAAUAAUAUUGUUUAAGUA